UUUCACUGCCUCGGCCAGUUGCUUCUCAUUCUGAAUGCUCUGAACCCACUUUGCAUUAAUGUUGACACGCUCAAUGCUCUGCUUCAAGGUUCUAACAAUUGAAGGCUUGGUGCGGGUUGCAAAGAAAUCCUCUACUUCCUUGGCCUUCUCAAAUGAAGCAAACGGUGAGACAACUGCACUGAUGAAGCGAGUUAUUAAAAAUCCAGAACCCCAAGUUUUUGAAAUGUGAUCCCACUUAUCCUUCA
rnacentral:misc_RNA from 1 species